GACGAACGCUGGCGGCGUGCCUAAUACAUGCAAGUCGAACGCAGUGGGGACGGGUGAGUAACACGUGGGUAACCUCCCAUCAGAGGGGAUAACACUUGGAAACAGGUGCUAAACCGAUAUCGAUGGAUGGACCCGCGGUGCAUUAGCUCGUUGGUGAGGUAACGGCUCACCAAGGCCACGAUGCAUAGCCGAACGGAGAGGGGGAUCGGCCAAACUGGGACGGAGACACGGCCCAGACUCCUACGGGAGGCAGCAGGAGGGAAUUUUCGGCAAUGGGCGAAAGUCUGGACGAGGAAGGCCGCGUGAGUGAAGAAGGUUUUCGGAUCGUAAAACUCUGGUGUUUGGGAAGCGGUAACUAACCAGAAAGCCACGGCUAACUACGUGCCAGCAGCCGCGGUAAUAC
rnacentral:rRNA from 1 species